GUUUUUUCGUGUACUGAAAUUCCAUUGACCUCCAGGCUCCAGGUGUAGUGUGAUGCAGCGAUUCGAGCAGGUAGGUUUUUCGGGUUGGUUGCGUGGAUGGUAGAAACUUUACAGAUUUUGUGAUAAACACUGAAAUAUGAUUGGGCCCAUCAAGCUGGAGGAAAGCCUUAUCCAUUACCUGCAUUAAUUGUAGCUGCUGUCUUGAUUUUCUGUAUUUUGGCGUAUGCCAAGUCUACGGCAACAUCUGUGGUGGCGCGAUAAAAUUAUUGGAGAAUAAACAAAUAAAUUUAUCUGUGUU